CAAGAAGAGACCCUAACCGGUCCUCUCAACCCUGCCCAUCGUACCUUUUUUGUUGUUCCCUCGGCGGUGCUCGCGGGCCCGCCAGCGGGAAGACCAAACAAACCCUUUGCAAAAGCAUAUUUCUUGUUAAUACUUUCUGCUCUUGAAAACAUGAAUGUCA
rnacentral:misc_RNA from 1 species